rnacentral:rRNA from 1 species
GACGAACGCUGGCGGCGUGCUUAACACACGCAAGUCGAACGGAAAGGCCCUGCUUUUGUGGGGUGCUCGAGUGGCGAACGGGUGAGUAACACGUGAGUAACCUGCCCUUGACUUUGGGAUAACUUCAGGAAACUGGGGCUGAUACCGGAUAGGAGCUCCUGCUGCAUGGUGGGGGUUGGAAAGUUUCGGCGGUUGGGGAUGGACUCGCGGCUUAUCAGCUUGUUGGUGGGGUAGUGGCUUACCAAGGCUUUGACGGGUAGCCGGCCUGAGAGGGUGACCGGCCACAUUGGGACUGAGAUACGGCCCAGACUCCUACGGGAGGCAGCAGUGGGGAAUAUUGCACAAUGGGCGGAAGCCUGAUGCAGCAACGCCGCGUGCGGGAUGACGGCCUUCGGGUUGUAAACCGCUUUCGCCUGUGACGAAGCGUGAGUGACGGUAAUGGGUAAAGAAGCACCGGCUAACUACGUG